AGCGUGAGUGAACAUAUGAAACAGGUCGUGAUGUUUCCUCUGGUUUUAUGUUAUAUUGGAGUAUUUCCUUCAAGAUGGUAAGCUCGUUCGUGGCUGAAGAAUCUCCUAGACGGCGUGCCCAUAAUGGCGGGAGUUGUCGCGGACGCCCACCAAGCAUUUGGCACAGGGAAGUUCCGGUUUACCCCUAUGAAUAAAGACUGACGAAGAAGUUGCAUGACGCUUAUGGUAGCCCUAGUAGUUAGAUAACAGAUUUUAAAAAUAAUAGCAGAUACAAAAAGCUUUGAAUUGUAUCAAACCGUUAUAAUGUCUGUUAGCUUUGAUAGUAAGCCUGUUAACAGAGAGUCAAAGAAAACCUUUGUGAUCGAAUGAACAGAUAAUUUUGCGACACGCACAUUUCAGACGAUUUUAAUCUUGUUUGUACUCCCAUCGACCAGGUAUAUAUAUGGAACAAGGUUCAAUUUCUCUUAGCAUUCGGCCAAAGAGAACUACUGUAUUAGAGACGCAUGAAAACUGAUCCUAAGAUUAUUUCACAACUAUAGCUGUACCUACCACAGAAGAACUGCGAUUAUUAAA